GGAGGAGUGCUCGGAGUGGUUUAACGGCCAGGUCUCGAAAACCUUGGGGGUCCAAAAGGCCCGCGUGGGUUCGAAUCCCACCUCCUCCG
rnacentral:tRNA from 1 species